rnacentral:rRNA from 1 species
UGGAAGGGCCAUCGCUCAACGGAUAAAAGCUACCCUGGGGAUAACAGGCUUAUCUCCCCCAAGAGUCCACAUCGACGGGGAGGUUUGGCACCUCGAUGUCGGCUCAUCACAUCCUGGGGCUGUAGUAGGUCCCAAGGGUUGGGCUGUUCGCCCAUUAAAGUGGUACGCGAGCUGGGUUCAGAACGUCGUGAGACAGUUCGGUCCCUAUCCGUCGCAGGCGUAGGAAAUUUGAGAAGACCUGUCCUUAGUACGAGAGGACCGGGAUGGACGUACCUCUGGUGUACCAGUUGUCCUGCCAAGGGCAUGGCUGGGUAGCUAUGUACGGAAUGGAUAAGCGCUGAAAGCAUCUAAGCGCGAAGCCAACUUCAAGAUAAGAUUUCCCACCGCAAGGGUAAGACCCCAGAAAGACUAUCUGGUUGAUAGGUCGAAGGUGUAAGUGCAGUAAUGUAUUUAGCUUAUCGAUACUAAUAGGUCGAGGACUUGACCAAU